rnacentral:rRNA from 1 species
GAACGCUGGCGGCAGGCUUAACACAUGCAAGUCGAACGCGUGUAGCAAUACACGAGUGGCGCACGGGUGAGUAACGCGUGGAUAUCUGCCUUUUGGUUCGGAAUAACCCCGGGAACUGGGGAGUAAUACCGGAUGGUUCCUACGGGAUAAAGAUUUAUCGCCAAAAGAUGAGUCCGCGUACGAUUAGCUAGUUGGUGAGGUAAUGGCUCACCAAGGCGACGAUCGUUAGCUGGUCNGAGAGGACGAUCAGCCACACUGGGACUGAGACACGGCCCAGACUCCUACGGGAGGCAGCAGUGGGGAAUAUUGGACAAGUGGGGGCAACCCUGAUCCAGCCAUGCCGCGUGAGUGAUGAAGGCCUUCGGGUU